CACAGUCAGUGGAAAAGGCACCACUUAGAUCUGUAGAACAAUUCAUCUUGUUUUUACAGGACUUUUCCACACCCUUAUUUCUUUAUUUCAAGAAUAAUUAUAUUUUUUUAAAAAAAAAAAGAAUAAUCAUAUUUAAACUUGAAGUCUAAGCCAGCUCUUUGAGAUCUACUCUUCCGAUUUCUCAUCUUUCUGGAUUAUCUCCCAGGUAUACAGGAGGUAUACAUGUUAUUCAGUUUCUUAUUCUUGUGUUAAUCUGCCUUUUGCUGCAAGGAAUCUCAGCUAAGAUCUCAUGAAGGGUGGAGGAGGAAAUGAUGCUUCCUCCUCCACAUUCCAUCUUUAGAAGCAAACACUGCCCGAAUCCUUAGGUACACAUGUACAUUUGACAUAUAUGCACGUUAUUACACAUAGAGAAUUAUGGCAGGUUGUAUAUCCCCAAGGCUAAUUUGAGCUUCCUGGACAAAAGAAAAAAGACAAACAGAAUAAAGACAGACCUCAUUAAUAUACUUCAAAACUUCAUGUUGCAUAUGAUAAAUAUAUAUACAUUUUGUUGGUCAAUUUAAAAAUAAAAAAUAAAAAUCUUUUAAAAUUAAAAAGAAGAUCCCAUUACAACCAAGGAUAUAUAUGUAGAUGAGCUCACCGGAAAAACAAGAUGGAGCUAGAUCUAAACCUAUGGAUUCGUAGGGUCACCACUAAAGAGUAAGUGAAACCAUUAAAAAAAAAGCUACAGCGUUGAGAAUGGUUUAAUCCUGUGUUUGUGAAGGCAGACCUGACGAUAACUUCCCUGCCUACUUCCGUCCUGUGUGGCCGGCUGUGCGGAGGCCGUCCUCACAGGGUCUCUGGGAGGACUGGAGAAGCUGCUGCACCUCCUCCAGAUAGGUGAUGGGGGGGGUGGCCCAACCCUGGCCCCAGGGGACUCCCGGGAGCAGGGCAAGCCCAGGAACAGGAUUCUGGACGACUUCGGCCCUGCCACGCUUGCCCUCUGAAUGCAGGAACUGCUGUCUUCAGCCACAAAACCCUUGGCGGGGCAUUUUUGAAAUUAGAAGGCCGUGUAGCACUCACACUGAAACUCGCCAUUGUGUUGGUGUCGGAGGUCCUUAAGAGGUGAGGGGGAGAAGAGGAAUCAAUGCUUUCUCACGGGGACGGGUUGCCACAGCCGGGGCUGCCCCCGGGCCCUGUCCGUUUCUGCAUGUACCUGUCACCCUUCUGCCUUCCACCAGGUUAUGAGGUGGCACGAGGUCCUCACCAAGCAUGGCUGCCUGGUCUUGGACUCUCCAGCCUCAAGAAUCAUGAGCCCAAGCAAACUUCUUUCCUUGGUAAAUGACCCAGUUUAGAGACAGAAAACGAACUAUGACAGAUGGUGGGAGCACCGCGGGACACUGGCCUCUUGAUCUUGUGACUGUGCUGGGCCUCAGAUGCAUACAGCAGGGCAGGUCCAGGUGAAGCCAGGUUAUGGAGAAAAUGAAUACAAACUGACAAAUGCACAGGUGCGUGCAAAGUCUCAGCCGAGGCCAAGCGUGUGAGGAGCCAAGUUUGAGUGUUGUCUGCUUCAGGGAAAACCCAUAUCAUGGAUUCAGAGGGGCAGCAGCUGCAGCGGUCCCAGUGCUGGGGCCCCAGUGUUGUUUUUGACAAAUGCGAACCAAGCCUCCUUGCGGUCACCUUUCUGUACCAAGUGUUCCACGCAGUGGAUGCUGUGGCACAGGCACCGGAGUCUGAAAGCCACGUAGGAAGAGGGAGCUGCGGGUUCCAACGAGUCAGGCCGCACGGGUCGGGACACCACAAUGAUGAGUUUGAUGCCAUCAUCACUCCCCGCUGUAGCUCCUUUGUGAGGCUGCAAUAGUUAAAAAGAAGCCACAAUUUUUGUGUGCAAAAUCCACACAGUGCGCACACUUUUCUUUGACGGAAUUUAAUGACUGCACUCUCUCUGCUAGGAGGAAAGCAAGCGGAAGAGCUCACCCUGAAGUCACAACAUAACUGAGCGAACUCUGAGCACUGACUGUUGACACAUGGUCCAUUGUUCUUUAUCAGGUGUGGAGCAAAACUCUGGAAGGUUCUGGAAGAUGAGCCUUUCAGAGAAGACACGACCUUGGCAGAUUUGCUGUCUAGUGCACUGGAGAACCCACACUCUGCAAAAAAC
ensembl:lncRNA